UCUCAAGAAAAGAAUUUAGUUCAGCCUAAAGUAAUCCCUACCCCACUAUGUACCCCCCCCAUUUUUUAGAGUAAUUCAAAUGAGGUACAGCCCAUUUGAUACAGGAUACAACCUUCACUAACGGGUAAUAGCCCUUUAACAUAUUUAAGUAGGCCUAAAAGCAGCCACCUUUAAAAAAGCGUCAAAGCUUAACUCUGUUCACUUUAAUUCAAAGACUUAUAUUGACCCCUUUAACCGUAUUGAGAAUUUCUAUAACCAUAUAGAACUUUUUAUGCUAAAACUAAUAACAAGAGGAAAACCCUCUCCUUAAUGCAAGUGUAAGCCAGCAAGAACCCACCACUGGCAACUAACAGACCCCCACAAAGCAGCAACCCUCACCCUAGAGAACCCUACUUCCUACUACUGUUAACCUAACACAAGAGCAUUUCAAGAAAGAUUAAAAGAAAAAGAAGGAACUCGGCAAACAUUAGCCCCGCCUGUUUACCAAAAACACCGCCUCUUGACCCUAUAAGAGGUCCAGCCUGCCCAGUGACCCUGUUCAACGGCCGCGGUAUUCUAACCGUGCAAAGGUAGCGUAAUCACUUGUUUUCUAAAUAAAGACUAGUAUGAAAGGCACCACGAGGACUAAGCUGU
rnacentral:rRNA from 1 species